rnacentral:rRNA from 1 species
UACAGAGGGUGCGAGCGUUACUCGGAAUUACUGGGCGUAAAGCGCGCGUAGGCGGCUUUGCAAGUCGGGUGUGAAAUCCCCAGGCUUAACCUGGGAACUGCAUUCGAGACUGCAUUGCUAGAGUAUGGGAGAGGGAAGUGGAAUUUCCGGUGUAGCGGUGAAAUGCGUAGAUAUCUGGAGGAACACCGGUGGCGAAGGCGACAUCCUGGACCGGUAUUGACGCUGAGGCGCGAAAGCCUGGGGAGCAAACAGG